rnacentral:tRNA from 1 species
ACCUGGCUGGCUCAGUCAACAGAGCAUGUGACUCUUGAUCUCAGGGUUGUGGGUUUGAGCCCCACAUUGGGUA